AUGACAUGAUGGCAAAGUCCCAAGCAGAAGUGGGGCAUCUGGGGAAUCAGGGGCAAGUUGUUUGACCGGGUUGAGACAACUCAGACGGAUAUUGAGUCCGAAUCAGUGCACUUGUGGAGUGCUGUCCGGUGAAAUACUGAGGCUUAUUGUGAGCAAAUAAGAGGAAUCAAGGUUGAUCCUGCAAAAAAAAGCAAAAAAAAAAAAGAGAAGAGGAAAAAAAAAGAAAAGAAAAAGUAAGUCAGAAAUGCCUGAACCGAAAAAGAGGUCAAACGGUUAGGUAGGAUAAUGAUUGCCAAGGGCCAUUUGAGAAACAAAAAGAAUAAGUUGCAGGAACCUCUGAUUCUGUUAAUCUGGUACUGGACAGCCCUCGAGGGGUCUAUGAGGUGCGUAUUGUGUCAGCAUGACGAGUGUUGUCGAAAAG
rnacentral:lncRNA from 1 species